AGCAGUCGCCGCGGUAAUACGAAGGGGGCUAGCGUUGUUCGGAAUUACUGGGCGUAAAGCGCACGUAGGCAGAUAUUUAAGUCAGGGGUGAAAUCCCAGAGCUCAACUCUGGAACUGCCUUUGAUACUGGGUAUCUUGAGUAUGGAAGAGGUGAGUGGAAUUCCGAGUGUAGAGGUGAAAUUCGUAGAUAUUCGGAGGAACACCAGUGGCGAAGGCGGCUCACUGGUCCAUUACUGACGCUGAGGUGCGAAAGCGUGGGGAGCAAACAGGAUUAGAUACCCCAGUAGUCCCUGUCUCUUAUAA
rnacentral:rRNA from 1 species